GAUGACGAUGACGUUGUGGAAACAGUUAAGCAUUUUAACUGAGUUUUCUUCAAACUUGCAACGCGGCUUCUGCCUCAGCUUCAGCUGUUCCAUAUCCUGCUCCUGUU
rnacentral:snoRNA from 1 species